GAAAGGAAGAGAAACUUCCCAAGAAAGAAAGAGAAGGGAAAAAAAGCUCUUCUUUUCUCUCGUUUUCUCUAUUUCCUCAGGGUUUUUCUUUUUCUUCUCC
rnacentral:ribozyme from 13 species